AGUCUACUUACAACCGACCUGAGAAACCCCCCCGUAACCGGCUCCUACGUGGCACGUUUCAAAACGGCGUCGUCACUGUUUUAACUCAAAUUCAAACUUGCCUCGUCACUCUGUUACUGUGUUUCAAAAACUCUCUACUUUCUCUUCCUUCCAAGACCCUCCCCUCUUCCUCAUUCCCAUCGUCUUCCACAGAAAGGCAGAAGCAGCCUUCCAUCCCAGUCGAAAAUCAUUCCCAGUUGAAGAAAGAACCCACAAACCCACGUUUCAGUUUCGUACCGAAGAACCACUGACGCACAAACCCACGAACAAGCCUCGAACCCAAGAGCCAGAAACCCAAUUUCAACCCAAAUCGACAAACUAGAGCCACGAAAUCCAGUUCUGAAAUCCCGCUUUCCCACAGAGCACCGAUUAAAAUAACCCUAACCCUAACCUCAAAAAAUCGAGUUAGUUUUCUCCUUUUUAUGUCUUUUCGUUUUGGUUUCCAACAUUUCCCACUCUCAGAUCUGGAAUCAACCCGAGCACGCCUGCAUUUCGUCUGGUAAAUGAUCUCAAACCCCUUUGUUCAGUAUGGUCGUUUACGUUUACGAACAUGUGUCACUAUCCACAUAUACUCAUAGAUUCGUAAUGCAAUUGAGUGGAUUUAUAGACUUCUUCCAUUUUUUUUGGUCUUCUAGGUUCUUCUUCUUCUUCUUCUUCUUCUCUCUCUCUCUCUCUCUCUCUCUCUCUCUCUCUCUCUCUCUCUCUCUCUCUCUCUCUCUCUCUCUCUCUCUCUCUCUCUCCAGUUUGGUCCCGAUUUAAUGCUUAUUUUGUGAUUUUUUUUUGGGUCUUCUUCCCCUCCGGAUUACCAAAGUAAGCAAGAAAUUUCUUUUUUUUUCUUUGAAAUAUGGAGGCGCGUGAACUUGGAGGUCAAUGUUUGGUGGGUAUUGGGUUAAUUGCACAAAUAAAUGUUGGGUUGGUCACAUAUCUGAGCACUUUUGAGCUUCUGGGUGGGCGUGUGUCGAAGGGAAUUUGAUAAUGGAGCAUGUGAUUGCUGGGAAGUUUAAGCUGGGGGGAAAGAUUGGGAAUGGGUCCUUUGGGGAGCUCUAUCUAGCCAUUAAUGUACAAACUGGAGAGGAGGUGGCUGUUAAGCUGGAAUAUGUGAAGACCAAGCAUCAAUAACCUGUUACGGAAGGAGAAAGAUCUCAAGAAGAUGGUCGAGCUUCUUGAAAAGAGUGAGAUUGACCUUCGUAAGAUAGUGGAUCAGUUCGAGAAGGAGUUGGGGCGUCACGCACAAGAAACUGAAAUAAGGCGUUUACAAUGAAUGUAUUGGGGUUUUGCAUUAGUAGUAUUAUGUUUUUGUAUUGGAUUUUGGCUCUUGUAUUGAACUCCAGACUUGAUGUAUGAAUUUUUGUACAUCCUUAUUCGUGUUUUGUUAGAUUUCA